UCGGCAACGGAUAUCUCGGCUCUUACAUCGAUGAAGAACGUAGCAAAAUGCGAUACUUGGUGUGAAUUGCAGAAUCCCGUGAACCAUCGAGUCUUUGAACGCAAGUUGCGCCCGAAUCCUUCCGGUCGAGGGCACGUCUGCCUGGGUGUCACGUACACACGUCUCUCACAAACCUUUCCCUUCAUGGGYGAAGGGUCUUGCGUGAGCAGAAUUUGGUCUCCCGUGCUUU
rnacentral:rRNA from 1 species